AUUGAACGCUGGCGGCAGGCCUAACACAUGCAAGUCGAGCGAGCGGCGGACGGGUGAGUAAUGUCUGGGAAACUGCCUGAUGGAGGGGGAUAACUCCUGGAAACGGUAGCUAAUACCGCAUACAAUCGGAUAUUCCCAGAUGGGAUUAGCUAGUAGGUGGGGUAACGGCGCACAUAGGCAACGAUCCCUAGCUGUUCUGAGAGGAUGACCAGCCACACUGGAACUGGAAUACGGUCCAGACUCCUACGGGAGGCAGCAGUGGGGAAUAGUGCACAAUGGGCGCAAGCCUGAUGCAGCCAUGCCGCGUGUAUGAAGAAGGCCUUCGGGUUUUAAAGUACUUUCAGCGGGGAGGCGUUACCCGCAGAAGAAGCACCGGCUAACUCCGUGCCAGCAGCCGCGGUAAUAC
rnacentral:rRNA from 1 species